rnacentral:rRNA from 1 species
UUGAACGCUGGCGGCAUGCUUAACACACGCAAGUCGAACGGCAGCACGGUGUGUAGCAAUACACAUGGGUGGCGAGUGGCGGACGGGUGAGUAGACGCGUAGGAACCUGCCUAUAGAGAGGGGACAACCCGAGGAAACUCGGGCUAAUACCGCAUAAAGUUGAGAGACCAAAUGCUGGGGCAACCUGGCGCUCUAAGAGGGGCCUGCGUCUGAUUAGCUAGUUGGUGGGGUAAAGGCCCACCAAGGCGAUGAUCGGUAGCUGGUCUGAGAGGACGAUCAGCCACACUGGGACUGAGACACGGCCCAGACUCCUACGGGAGGCAGCAGUGGGGAAUAUUGGACAAUGGGGGGCAACCCUGAUCCAGCAAUGCCGCGUGUGUGAAGAAGGCCUUCGGGUUGUAAAGCACUUUGGCCCGGGAAGAGAAGGUAUUUUGUUUAAGAGAUGAGAUAUUUGACUGUACUGGAGAAACAAGCACCGGCUAACUCUGUGCCAGCAGCCGCGGUAAUACAGAGGGUGUGCGAGCGUUAAUCGGAAUGACCUGGGCGUAAAGGGCGCGUAGGCGGUUGUAUAAGAUUGUUGUGAAAUCCCUGGGCUUAACCUAGGAACUGCAACGAUGACUGUAGAGCUUGAGUAUAUGUAAGAGGGCAGUGGAAUUUCCGGUGUAGCGGUGAAAUGCGUAGAGAUCGGAAGGAACACCGGUGGCGAAGGCGGCUGCCUGGACAAAUACUGACGCUGAGGCGCGAGAUAUGCGUAGGUGGGGAGCAACACAGGAUUAGAUACCCUGGUAGUCCACGCUGUAAACGAUGAAGACUAGAUGUUGGUCAGCAUGACUGAUUAGUAUCGAAGCAAACGCGAUAAGUCUUCCGCCUGGGGAGUACGGCCGCAAGGUUAAAACUCAAAGGAAUUGACGGGGGCCCGCACAAGCGGUGGAGCAUGUGGUUUAAUUCGAUGCAACGCGAAGAACUCUUACCUGCCCUUGACAUCCUGGGGAGAUUGCAGAGAUGCGAUUGUGCCGAAAAGGAACCCGGAUGACGGGUUGCUGCAUGGCUGUCGUCAGCUCGUAUGUCGUGAAUGAUGUUGGGUAGUAAGGUCCCGUAACGAGCGCAACCCUUGUCCUUAGUUACCAGCACGUAAAGGUGGGAACUCUAAGGAGACUGCUGGUGAAGAACCGGAGGAAGGGCGGGGGACGACGUCAAGUCAUCAUGGCCUUUAUGGGCAGGGCCACACACGUGCUACAAUGGGGCGUACAGAGGGAAGCCAACCCGCGAGGGGGAGCCGAUCCCGGAAAGCGCCUCGUAGUCCGGAUUGAAGUCUGCAACUCGACUUCAUGAAGUUGGAAUCGCUAGUAAUCGCGAAUCAGAAUGUCGCGGUGAAUACGUUCCCGGGCCUUGUACACACCGCCCGUCACACCAUGGAGUGGGUUGUACCGGAAGGUAGGUAGAAUAACCGCAAGGGGUUCGCUUACCACGGUAUGGUCCAUGACUGGGGUG